rnacentral:rRNA from 1 species
UACGUAGGGUCCGAGCGUUGUCCGGAAUUACUGGGCGUAAAGAGCUCGUAGGUGGUUUGUCGCGUUGUUCGUGAAAACUCACAGCUCAACUGUGGGCGUGCGGGCGAUACGGGCAGACUCGAGUACUGCAGGGGAGACUGGAAUUCCUGGUGUAGCGGUGGAAUGCGCAGAUAUCAGGAGGAACACCGGUGGCGAAGGCGGGUCUCUGGGCAGUAACUGACGCUGAGGAGCGAAAGCGUGGGGAGCGAACAGG